rnacentral:sRNA from 1 species
CCCGCCGUGGAUGGCGGUGGUUCCAUAUUUACGACGUUUUGCCGUAAGGCAAAACUCGAAGCUCAAGAAUGUACAGGACGUACAUUCUUGAGCGGGG